GACGUAGGGUGCGAGCGUUGUCCGGAAUUAUUGGGCGUAAAGGGCUCGUAGGCGGUUUGUCACGUCGGGAGUGAAAACUCGGGGCUCAACCCCGAGCCUGCUUCCGAUACGGGCAGACUAGAGGUAUGCAGGGGAGAAUGGAAUUCCUGGUGUAGCGGUGAAAUGCGCAGAUAUCAGGAGGAACACCGGUGGCGAAGGCGGUUCUCUGGGCAUUACCUGACGCUGAGGAGCGAAAGUGUGGGGAGCGAACAGG
rnacentral:rRNA from 1 species